rnacentral:tRNA from 1 species
AUCUGGGUGGCACAGAUAGUUAAUGCAAUUGGCUACUAACCAAAAGGUUGAAGGUUUGAGUCCUUCCAAAGGUG